GUGAUCACCGGCGCUGCUGCAUCCUCCGCUCCGGCUGGCUCGGCCAUCGGAGACUCUGCAAGGAAGAAAAAACAACAAAGGCUGAUUAUGGAAUGUGAAUCUUAAAUCAUCAAUGUUGUUUCCGGCUUUUACUUUCAUCAGAAACACCCAGAAGAAAGUUUUUCUUAAGAGAGGAAAGAAUUAAGUUGACAAACGGGCAGUUUCCUGUCUAGACUGGGCCACAAUUAGAAGCCUACCAAAAGUCCAGCAGGAGAGGCAAUGUUGGCUAAAGACCUUCUAUUUUAUGUGAUGAAACUCCUGCCUUUUGGGAUCAUUCCCCCCAAGAAAUCCAGUGUUCUUGCAAACUUCCAGACUCGCCAAGCUCUUCUUUAGGCCCAAUCCUUGGUUUCUACACCAAAGAGACCUCAGUUCCAGCCCUUCCAUGUCACCAAGGCUCCAGUCUAUUGACUGCUACUCCAUCCUCUACUGCAACCCUGGGCACCAGCAUUCUUCUGUAGGGUUGUGCAGACAAAGCAGAAAGCAAAGCUUAGAAUAAGCAUUGAUAGGCAAGCUUUGUCUAUAGAAGCUUCAUUGGGGUAAAAAUUGUGACUUUUUCUUGAUCUGGGUUUUUAAUACAGGUAUUUAUAAUUAUUUUUAUGGCAGUUUCCCUUAUAUAAGAGAAUGUUAAAAAAAAAUUGGAGAGUCCUCUAAAUGAAGACAAGUGCUGAUUGUGCUUUAAAAACGGAAUCAAGGGAUGGUUUUUUUUUUAAACUGGAAACCCAUUUUCUCCUCUCUAAAAGUUAAAGAGCUCUUAUGGAAGCUAGUGUAAUGAAACUUGCAAUUUUAAACAUACAAGAAUUGUUGUCAUUUCAAUUAGUAAAGCCUACCAUUUUGAUAUUUUGAGAUGAAGAAACACAUUUUAAAUAGAUUAAAACCUUAAUUGUGUAAUAGUAGGUGUAACAAUAAUUUUUUUUGGCCUACACCCAAUUCUCCAUAACAAAUUCUCCAUGUACUUAUUUCUGUACCAGCCAACCAUAAUUAAAAAUGUAAAUGUAUUUUGGAUCCAAAUUCAAAAUUGUGUUUAAUUAAUCAAUAAUAGCCUUUAUUUUAAUUCUUCCCAAUUUAAAUAGAACUUCCUUCUGUACUCAGAAGUUUUAUUUGUCUUGACUAUUUCUUCCAAUGUAAUUGCUUAGUGUAGGUAAAGUCAAAACAUCCAAAGAGUUGUUCCCAUGUCUUCUUAAUCAGCUUGAAGAUUUAUUUAUCUACUAGCUGUACCCGGCCACGUGUUGCUGUGGCCCAGUCUGGUGCUUCCGCUGGGCUAAAAGAGUGAGGCUGAAGUUCCAAACUCUCCACGAACAUUUGGUGGGCGUGGCCAACUCAACGUCACUCACUUUCAUCAGUCACAUGACAGCCCCCGAGCCACGCCUAUCCAGCUGGUGAUUAGGGCAGAGAACCAGUUGUAAAAAACAAUGGGAACCACAAAAUCCUCCCUCUCUUUCUCCCCCUCUCUCUCUGUAUCUCUAUAUGUGUCUCUCUCCCCCCCCCCGUCUCUCUGUAUUUCUCUAUGUCUCUCUCUCUCUGUUUAUCUCUGUCUCUAGCCCGGCCUCUUCUGCAUCCCCUUUUCAGACCAGGCCUUCGCAGCUCUCCGCAUCACAGCAGAAACUCAGGGGCCCCCUCCGUCCUCCCUACACAGAUGUUCUCUGGGGGCUCGACAGGGAGACGCAUAGGAAGGAAGGGAAGGGAGGGAGGGGGUGCGGCGGGGGUUCGAGGCUGGUUUGGGGCUUCCCGCCUGAAGGAAGAAAGCGGCAAAGCCAGGAGCCACACCCCCCCCACUGGACCCCUGCUGCGCAGUUCUCCCCCGCCUGCCAAGGGCAGGGGAAUGAUUAAAUCCCCCGCUCUUCCAGGCAAAACGAAGGAGGGCCGGCCAUCCUCCCUCCUGCCCGUUUCUGCCCCCGAAGCCUCCCCGGAGCCCCUUUUCUGCCAGAGGCCGAAAUUUUCAUGUAGGCUCUGUGAACUGCCAGAGCGCCCACCUGGGAAUCAAAGGCGGCGUUGGUCAAAGGCAACCCCGAGGCUACAGUUGCCUCCAUCUCCCGCUCACCGACCGGAUUCGCAUAGUGCCGACAUCAUAACAACCAGCAAUAUCUUCUUUGAAAUCGUCAUGCACCACACAUGAGUUGUUCUGGACCUUGAGUUGUCGUAGCCGUGGGACACCAAGCAGCGGUAGAUCUGGUGACCAGGCAAUUGUGCUGCCUAAUGGCUCAGCCCACUUUUCCCAUUCAAAUCUAAAUGUAGCGCUAUAUAAAAAUUUCAGAUUUGAAGACCAAAAGAAGCGCAUAGGGCUCAAAAAUAAACCCUUUAAUUGCAACUCCUUAAAGCA